UAUAUAUAAAGCACCGCCUUUCUUCUCAUUUCUUCUCAAUAGCUGUCUCACUUUCUCUUGCUUUCCCUCUCUCUCGCUUCUUUCUAGAAGAAUCCUCCCUAGGUCCCGUUUGGCUUAGGGUUUGAAGUUCGGAGUCGAGUCGAACCCGAUCACUCCUCUCAUUUGUUAUCAGAUCCAUUCCAUUGAUGUACGAAGGGAGUUGGCGCCAAAUUUUGGGUCAAUAUGGGGUUUGAUAACGAGUGCAUACUAAACAUUCAAUCUCUCGCUGGAGAAUACUUCUGUCCAGUAUGUCGAUUGCUUGUCUAUCCAAAUGAAGCAUUACAGUCACAGUGCACUCAUUUAUACUGCAAACCUUGUUUGGCGUACGUUGUGAGCACCACCCGGGCCUGUCCUUACGAUGGCUAUUUGGUGACAGAGGCGGAUUCUAAGCCACUAAUAGAAUCAAAUAAAGCGCUAGCGGAAACCAUAGGCAAAAUAGCGGUUCAUUGUCUCUAUCACAGGAGUGGAUGCCAAUGGCAGGGUCCUCUAUCUGAAUGCAUUUCUCAUUGUUCUGGGUGUGCCUUUGGCAAUUCGCCAGUUGUGUGCAACAGGUGUGGAGUUCAAAUUGUGCAUCGUCAAGUGCAAGAACAUGCUCAAAACUGCCCUGGUGUGCAGGAUGCUGCAGCACAAGGGGCAGCUGCUGCUGCUGAUCAGAGCCAGACUGCUGCACAGGCUGGAGCUCUAGCUUCUCAGACACAACCUGCUCAAAUUACACCUGCUUCUGCGCCUGUGCAGGAUCUAAAUCAGCAGGUCAAUUCUACUGCUCAGGCUGCUGCACCGACUCCUGAACAGUGGUAUCAACAACAACAACAACAAUAUCAGCAAUACUACCAGCAGUAUCCUGGAUAUGACCCUUAUCAGCAGCAUUAUCAGCAGUAUUACCCUUAUCAGCAACAGGCUGUUCAGUAUCAGCAUCCUCAUAUGCAGCCUCAUCCUGCACAAUUAUCUGGGCAGCCCCAACCCCAACCCCAACCCCAGGCCCAACUACAGCCACUUGUUCAGCCACAACCCCAAACCCAACCCCAGCUUCAGCCACAGCCACAGCCCCAAACCCAACCCCAACUUCAGCCCCAGCCCCAACAACAGCCCCAGAUGCAGCCGCAGCAACAGCCCCAGCCACAACUCCAAUCCCAGCCCCCGGCGCAGGCUCAGCUCCAACCGCAACCUCAACCUCUACUUCAGGCACAGACACAGGCACAAACACAGACACAACCACAACCCCAUUCACUUGUUCAGGCGCCAGUGGCUGUUCAACAUCAAAACCAAGUAGCUAACCAACAGGCACAAAAUCACCCUGUAGCGCAGCAACAUUCUCAAAUUCAAUCACAGACUCAUCCACCACACCAUGGACACCAACAUCCUCAGACUCUGCAGUAUCCCCAAGCUCAAUCACAUCCACAGCCCCAUUCUGUCCAGCCUCGUCCACAACAACAUCUGCAAUUGCCACAAUAUCAGCAGCCUCAUCCUCCAAUGCAACAUCCGCAGUCCCAAAUUCAGCGCCAGCCCAACUCUCAGCUUCUUCCCCAGCAUCAUCACCUGCCCCAGCCCCAGACCCAGCCUCUUUCACAAACCCAGCAGCCCACACUUCAACCCCACCCCCAGCCUCAUCCCCAUCCCCAUGCCCUUUCCCAACAUCACCCUUCUCAACCCAACCAGACUCCAAAUCCUAAUCCUCAGUCUCAGACACAGCCUCCAUCAGCCCAUGCAGUAACGGGCCAUCACUCCUUUCCACAACCCCGGCCCCAGCAGCAAAUGCCUUUGGGGGGCAUGCAGCAGCAGCCUAUGCAUAUGCAUCCUCAGGCUCAAUUCCCCCAGCAAUCUCCUCAGAUGCGCCCUUCCCAGGCUCAUGCUCAAAGUCAGCAGCAGUCGGCUUUGUUGCCUUUACCAGGUCAAGCCCAAAAUGUCCUCCCUCCACAGCAGCUACCGGUCCAUCCUCAUCAGCAAGCAGGUCAUCCAGUCCACCAGCGUGCUGCCAUGCAGCCAAUUCAGCAGUCAUUGCCUCACCAGUUUGUCCAGCAGCCACCAUUAGGCACUGGUCAGAAUCAAUUACAUCAGCAAGGGUCUUUCAUGCAACCACCAACACCAACAAUGCAGUCUCAGUUGCGCCCCCAGGCCCCACCUCAAUCAUGGCAGCAACAUUCUCAUGCCUAUCCACAGCCCCAACAGAAGGUUGCAAUGUUGCAUGGCAUGCAACCUCAGCUGCCUCAGAAUGUUGGAAGGCCUGGGAUGCCAAAUCAAGGGGUACAACCACAGCCAUUUCCACAAUCUCAAGCUGGACUUUCUGGUGCCGUUCAGCUUAGGCCGAUGCAUCUUGGGCCUAACCAGCCAUCUGCAAAUCAGACACUGGGCCAACACUUGGAACAGUCUGCUCAUCCACAACCUGGGUUGAAUGUAAAACAAACUACGUUUGAGAAGCCAGAUGAUGAUUUGUCCAAGAAAGGUGUAGGUGGGCAAGAAGGUGAAUCAUUCUCUGAGAAAACCGCUAGAGAGGAUGCGAAUGGUGUGGCUGCAACAUCUGGUAUAGAAUCUAAUACAGUUGAAAUAAAAUCUGAGACAGAUAUGAAAUCCAUGGAUGAGAAACAGAAAACUACUGGUGAAGAUGAGGAUACAAUCAGUAGGAUUAAUAAUUCUGCCAAGGAGAUUCCGGAGUCUAUGCGAGCAUUAGGUUCAGAUCCUAUGCAACAAGCAUCGGAAGAUGGAGAGCCUGUUAUCAAGCAGAUGGUGAAGGAAGAGGUUAUCAAGAGUACAGUAGAGCGUUCACCUGGUGGCAAAUCAAUUGGUAUUGUAGUUGAGGACCAGAAAGAUGAACUCAGUGUCCCUCCUAAACAAGUGGAGCAAGUGGAGCAUUCUUUGCUGCAAGACAAGGAAAUUCAGAAUGGCCUCCUGAUGAAAAACCCCCCUAUACAACAAGUGGAGAUUCUUGAUGAAAUGGGUGGAAAGUUGCAGAAGGAUUCAGGGGAUGCCAGUGGGGUCAUGCAGCUUUUCACUGCCACCAAUAGGGGCACAGAAGCUGUUCCUCCAGCUCCAAUUCCUGAUAGCUCUGCUCAAAAUGCUACACCUAGAGGUUCUGUUUCAGUGAGUGAGAGAAAAAUGUUAAAUCAACCUGGUAAUCAGGAAAGGAAUUUGCUUCAAGCCCCAACUAUGCCUCAAGGUCCCAGUAAUGAUGAAUACAGAGGCUUUCCUCCACCUAGUCAGGUGCAAGGCAGGGGCUUUGUGCCCCUUCCUCAUCCAGUGCCAAUUUUGGAUGGGGGAAGGCAUCAGCCACCACCAAUGCAAUAUGGUCCCACUGUCCAGCAAAGGCCUGCAGCGCCUUCUAGCGGACAAGCAAUGCCGCCUCCUGGUCUUGUACAUAAUGCACCAGUGCCAGGUCAACCUUCCACCCAAUUGCAGCCUCAGGCCCUGGGACUCUUACCACAUCCAGCACAACAGUCACGUGGUUCUUUUCAUCAUGAAAUCCCUCCAGGUGGUAUCCUAGGUCCAGGUUCUGCAGCAUCCUUUGGUAGGGGACUGAGUCAUUUUGCUCCUCCUCAAAGAAGCUUUGAACCGCCAUCUGUUGUUUCUCAAGGGCAUUAUAAUCAAGGUCAUGGUCUCCCUUCCCAUGCUGGGCCCUCAAGAAUCUCUCAAGGUGAACUUAUUGGAAGACCUCCACUGGGCCCACUGCCAGCUGGUUCAUUCGAUUCACAUGGUGGAAUGAUGGUAAGAGCACCUCCGCAUGGUCCUGAUGGUCAGCAGCGGCCUGUUAAUCCAGUGGAAUCUGAAAUAUUUUCAAAUCCAAGGCCCAACUACUUUGAUGGCAGACAAUCUGAUUCACAUAUUCCUGGGUCUUCAGAACGGGGUCCAUUUGGGCAGCCCUCUGGUGUCCAAUCGAAUAUGAUGAGAAUGAAUGGUGGGCUGGGCAUUGAAUCUUCCUUACCAGUUGGAUUGCAGGAUGAAAGGUUCAAAUCUCUACCUGAACCUGGUCGACGAAGUUCCGAUCAUGGAAAGUUUGCAGAAGAUCUCAAGCAAUUCUCUAGGUCUUCUCAUUUGGAUUCUGAUCUUGUUCCAAAAUUUGGGAAUUACUUUUCAUCUUCAAGGCCACUUGACAGGGGUUCUCAAGGAUUUGUUAUGGAUGCUGCCCAGGGGCUUCUUGACAAGGCACCUCUUGGAUUCAAUUAUGAUUCUGGCUUUAAAUCCAGUGCUGGCACUGGCACUUCAAGGUUCUUUCCUCCUCCUCAUCCAGGUGGUGAUGGAGAGAGAUCCCGAGCAGUUGGUUUUCAUGAAGAUAAUGUUGGAAGAUCAGAUAUGGCUCGUACUCAUCCAAAUUUUCUUGGAUCUGUUCCUGAAUAUGGUCGGCAUCAUAUGGAUGGUUUAAAUCCACGAAGCCCAACCAGAGAGUUCUCUGGCAUUCCCCAUCGUGGAUUUGGUGGCCUUUCUGGUGUUCCUGGCAGACAGUCAGACCUAGAUGAUAUAGAUGGCCGUGAAUCACGUCGAUUUGGCGAAGGAUCCAAAACCUUCAACCUACCCUCUGAUGAAAGUAGGUUUCCAGUUUUGCCCAGCCACUUGCGUAGAGGUGAGCUUGAAGGUCCUGGGGAAUUGGUGAUGGCUGAUCCUAUAGCAUCUAGACCAGCUCCCCACCAUUUGAGGGGUGGUGAUUUAAUUGGUCAAGAUAUUCUUCCUAGCCAUUUGCAGAGGGGUGAACAUUUUGGUUCUCGGAAUAUCCCUGGUCAGUUGCGGUUUGGAGAGCCAGUUUUUGAUGCCUUUCUUGGUCAUCCACGGAUGGGGGAACUGUCUGGGCCUGGAAACUUCCCUUCGCGCCUAUCAGCUGGUGAAUCAUUUGGAGGAAGCAACAAGUCAGGCCAUCCACGAAUUGGUGAGCCUGGAUUUAGGAGUACCUAUUCUCUCCAUGGAUAUCCAAAUGAUCAUGGAUUCAGGCCUCCUGGUGACAUGGAGUCUUUUGAUAACUCAAGAAAGAGGAAGCCACUAAGUAUGGCAUGGUGCCGCAUUUGUAACAUUGACUGUGAAACAGUGGAUGGUUUGGAUAUGCAUUCACAGACAAGGGAGCACCAACAGAUGGCUAUGGAUAUUGUCUUAAGCAUCAAGCAGCAGAAUGCAAAAAAACAGAAAUUGACUUCCAAGGAUCACUCAACCCCUGAAGAUUCAAGCAAAUCAAAGAAGGGUGUCUUGAGGGGCGGAGGAAUAAGCAUUAAGCCAUAGUAGUGCUGGAAACUGGACUGAAAUGGGUUCACUGCUGACCUGUGAUUGGAUUUGGUUCUAUGGUACUUAUGGUUUUAGCAAUAUAGAUCUUUUCAAUUCAACCCCCGUCUUUUUCGGAGAAGCAGACGACAUAAGCGCUGAAAGUUCAGCAGAGAGGUUUACUCAGGUCAUAUAUUUUUUUUGGAUGUGCAAUUAUUUCAAUGGCACAAGUUUGGGGCAAGGGCCUUUUUAUGGAACAAGACCUGGACAUGAAGGGCUCAUGGCAUUAUUAUGAUGACGACGAUGAUCAUUAUUAUUCUAAAAUAAACUUCCUCGCCCAAAGCCCUAAGAACAAAAAAAAUUUCAAGAAUGAGCUUUUGAGUGUAUGAUCCGUUGCUCCAUGGUUUCAGAGACACUACGUGUCCAGUCCUUUCAAAUAGUGUGAAAUAAACACAAUGGGACAGUCCUUGCCUUCCUAUGGUUUUUCCUGACCACUGUCCCAUGUCAACUUUGAAGUGUCUCUUACCAAAAAGGGCGACACCCGCCCAGACGCAAAAGGAAGAAAAUAUCAAAUGCAACAAUAUCUGAAGAAGAACAUUGAUUCUUCACCGCCCUUGGAAAUGUGACAUUUAUUCAUCCAAGGUCCAUCCUCUCCUUCUUAACUGAACCAAAGUUAAAUUCUCCCUGAGACAGAUUGGGAGAGAAUACUUUGACUAGGAUUUUUUCCAUCCUUGUAAUUCCAUCCAAAACAAUCUCUCUUCCUCAUUUCACCGAUUUCUCUUGCAGUUUGAAAAGAAACGCCAUAACACUUUCUAGUUCCCAUUCAUGAAAUUGUCUUAAGAAACAGGAUCUUCAAUGCCCUUUCUUACCUUACUUAUCCACACAUCUACAACCUAAGCAUCCAUUGAAGUAGCUGUGAUAAACAGAAAAGGAAAGAAGAUGCCCAAGGUUGAAUCAUCACAUCAAAUAUUCUUUUAAUAUUUCACUCUCCUUUCAUCUCCCAUAGUUAGGCAUGUUCCACAUUUAAAAUAUGAGCAGAAAAGAAGAAUAUGUUCUUUUCCAUCCUUUCCAUAAAUUCCUUUGUUAGUUUUCAAAAUUUUUCCUCAAACCUUAAAUCAUUUGUCCAACCUUGUUCAUCACGAUUUUGAGACCCCUUAAUUAUUUAUGCCAUUAUCAUUAGAGAAAUGUUUGAUUGAGGUGCUACUUUGUUUAUCAUCAAAAGAUUUUACAUUAAUUGAGUACCCAGUUGUAGCAUUUGCAUGACUACAAGUCUUAAGUUGUAGUUGUUUGGCAGACCGUUAACUUGGCCAUCUAGGACUUCAUACUUUCCCUUCACCAGGUUUGUAUUUCUCCUGUUGCAAUCUUUGAAAUUUGCUAUGUGGUACAUUGAAGCUGAAGCUAAUGUUACUUUUUGUUGACCUUCACCUGUAGUUAUAUGAUAUAUGUUAUAUUAAAUAUUGUGUCGACCUUCAUCUUGUUUUUUGCUUUCACAAUCAUGAUGGCUUGUUCCUGUUUAUAAUUUUGUUCACUUCAUGUACGACUGAAUGGGAAAAGGGUCAUGAACUUCAUAUUCAAUGCUAAUGAAUUGGUUCAUCUCCUUUUUGGGUAAGAAUAGGUGAAUUAUCAAUUACUACAUGCAAAGUUCACAUUGUCAAUCCCACUGUAUUUUAUAGUGGUGUUAGAAAUUUGACAUGUUUUUAUCUUUAUAAAAGUCAUUUUGGUGGAUGAAAAAAUAAUUCAUGUAAAUUCAAAUGAUUGGGAUUAUUAAGCUUUUGUGGAGUAUAUGAAUUAUUUUGCCAUCAAUAACGUCUUGAUUAUACCCAUGGAUUGAAAAAUCGGAUUUUAUCGGCGAUAUUUUGUUGAUAUAUCGAAUAUUGGGUGGCCUCGAAACGAAAUUCAAUAUCGAUUAUUGAAUGGGAGGAAUAUUGGCAAAAUUGGCGAAAUAUCGAUUUAGAACGAAUAAAUUGGCGAAAAAAUCGAACGUGAAGCGAUGCGCGGAGUAGCGAAGGAAGCCUGUCAAAAUAUCGGAGAUAUAUAGGAUAUAUCGGCGAAUAUAUAGGAUAUAUCGGCGAAUAUAUAGGAUAUAUCGACGAAUAUUAGGAUAUAUCGGAUAUGUCGGUGAAUAUAUCGGAUAUGUCAGCGAAUAUAUCGGAUAUGUCAGCGAAUAUAUCGACGAUAUAUUGGGGAAUUAUUGGAGAUUUUUUUGAAAGCUUUUUUAUUUUAUUUUAAGAUUUAUUCUUUUUUUAUUUUUUAUUUUAAAUUUAUAUUAUCAUUUUAUUUUUAACUACUUUUUAUAUUUAUCUUAUUUAUACAUGGCAUGUUCGUACUUACAAUCAAUACUAUUGAAACUCCAUGUCCUAGUAUGAAUAUUAUCUUCAAUAAGAUGGGUUCCCUUCAUCUAACAAUAUGAUGGAACCGCAUCGAUCUUCAUUUUGGUAUUAAAGAUUGUUGCAACGUCAUAUGUAUUAUGUUUAUGUGUAAAUUGUUUUCAUUUAAUAAAAUCAAAUAUUUCUUAACUCAAUUCUAACUUUCUAAGUAUACAAUUCCAAAAUUCAUAUUUUCUAUUCUUAAAAAGUAUCGUAAACCGUUUAUUGAUAUUUUUUUCUUUGACCAUAUUUAUGUCAAUUACACAAAUAAAAUAACUUUAACAUGUAUAUUAUUGCUUAUUUUAUCAUUCUUUGGAUUUUUCUAAGCAUACCCAUCAAUUUUGGAUAAUUUUUGUCUCGUUGAUAUUUGUGUAAAAAUAUCCAUCGAUAUUUCUCCAAUAUAUCCCUAAAAUCCAAAUAUCGAUAUAUCCGUGUUUAUCGAUAUUUCAAUCCAUGAUUAUACCUUUUUCUCUAAAGGCCCAGUAGUUGGUCACGAUUGUCAGUCUACAUGGUAAAGUAAUGGUAAUGAUGUACUGGAUGACCAUCAAGUCAUGCCGUCUACUAAUUGUUAUGUUCAUUAAUAUUGCUAAAUUUUACCUCUCAAACGGCUAUCUGUCCUUUUCAUUGCAAGCUGUUUGGAAAAUACAAUUGUGAGUAAUUUCUCGAGAAUCCUAUAGACCCUGCUUGGUAAUUGUUUUCUAUUCUUUAGAACAAAGAAAAGAAAAUAUGUUAAACACAACUAGAAAACAAAAAACAAAUUUCUGAUCUUAAAAAUAGAAAAUAUGUUGUUUUUAGAUGACAUCUUUGAGGGCCUGAUUGACAAUUGUUUUGAGAGUGGUUUUCUAUUUUCUACAAAAAAAAAUAGGAAAAUCAGUUUGGUAACAAAGAAACUAUUUUAUGUUUUUUGUUCUUAAAAACAUAAAACAGGAUGUUUUUAGAAAACAUUUUUUAGUUGUUUUUACUUGUUUUUUGAGGGGGUGAUAAAAAAAUAAUUAUACAAACAUGUAGAAUAAUUAAAAAUAAAACAUUAGAUAUAAUUUUAAAAAAAAAUAUUUAAAAAUAUUAAAAGCAAGUUAAAAACAUUUUAGAUUUCCAAAUAGUCUUUUAUUUUAUAAAACACUAUGUUCUUCAAAACUGUUCCUAAAAAUAGUUUCCAAAUAAGACCUUAAUUUUCAGUUGUUUUCUAAGAAUUGUUUUAAAAAAUCAUUAUGAAAAUAUGGAGAAUGAUUAAAAAUAAGAUAUUAUAUAAUUUUUUUAAAAAUAUAUUUAGAAACAUAGAAAAUAGGUUAAAAACAUUUCACAUUCCAAAACAAACUUUCAUUUUACAAAACAUCAUAUGUUUGUUUUCGAAAACUGGUCUCAAAAAUUGUUUUCCAAAAUUGUUCUAAAAAACACUUCGCAAAUGGAGCCAUAGUUAUUUUUCUCUUGAUGGUAGCAUAAUUUAGUAGAAGCGAUUCGCAAAUCUUACAAAAAUGUUGAUACUUCUUAUCCUUUGUUGAAAUAUUGUAAUCUUUCACUGUGAAAUCAACUUGCUAAAUAUCAAAUUAUUAUCCUUUGUUCACAUUAUACAUCAAUAAUUUGAUCUAAGUCAUAUCAUUUGGUACUAGAUCUUACUAUGAACGGUAUGAGUUUAUUGUAGUUCAAAAACUUUUUAUUUUGUUGUACUGCAUUUGCAAACAUCAAAGUUGUUAUUACUCGUUAGUGUAUCUCCUUUCUGUGAUGGUCAGCGGAACAUAAUCCAACUUGUCAUUUCUAAGUUAUGCCACCAUCAUAAAACUACACCGCUGUAGUUUGCUGUUCCUGCUACAUUUUUUUUCUUGUGUAAAUAUGGUAAACUGCACUUGGCUCCUCACUGGUGCAUGGAACUCUCUUCUUAUUUAUGUUGCUGAGGUUGAUUGGAUGGUAUAGGGAAGUUUUUAUUUGCUUCUUAGAGAGAUUUUUUUUAAUUUGAUCUUUUGUUUUGGAGAAGUAAACUAUAAAUGAAUAUUUAAUGAGGACAUAUCACCAAUCAAUCUUUGCCACAAUUUGUCCACGACAUUGUGGGAGCCGGGUGAUGUUCCUCGUUCAUUGUUUAGUAUAUAAACUGUUUCAAUAUCAAACAUGUAGAUUCUGUUCAUACUGUUGAUAAUCACAGAAACACUGUCAAAUAUCUAGAUUUAGUUCAUCCUUGGGAUAGUCGGAGGAUUUGAUGCUGUUGAAUUUGGUUUAUUUUUUAUUAUGAGAAGUUUGUAAUUUUCUCAUGGCUAUAUUAAUACCUAGAGAGGCUUUAGAUUAUGAUCUUUUGUUUUCCCCUUGUAAAUAUGAAGCAUGUUCUGAUGCUAUGAUGUGGAAAAUAGCCCAGUGAGUUGUGAGAACGGACUAAUGCCCUAGAAGUUCAUUUUUAUUUAGAGUAUGUUUGAUAGUGAUUUUGAGAAGUGUUUUUAGCAUUUCUAAUACUUGAAAAAUAAAAAUUUUCAAGUGUUAGAAAGACCAAAAACACUCUUAUUUUCAUCUUAGAUGAAUCUUUGAUCAAAGGUUUUAGAAGUUAAAUCUUUUCUUCAAGUUUUGGAUUCUUGGCAAUGAGAGUUUUGGCUUAUUUUUUAUGUGAAAGUUUGUAAUUUUCACAUGGCUAUAGAUGCUGAUCUUUUGUUUUCCCCAAUUCUUGUUGUAAAUAUGAAGCAUGUUCUGAUGUGAUGACGUGGAAAAUAUUUAGAAUAGCCCAGUGAGUUGUGAGGACUAAUGCCCAAGGAAUUCAUUUUUUAUUUUUUAUUUUUCUUAUAUAGAUGUUUGAUCAAAGGAUUUCAUAAGUUAAUCACUUCUUCCAAGUUUUGGAUUCUUAGGAAUGAGGAGAGUAUCAAUACAAGAUGUCCUCUUGCUUCUAAUGUCACAUUUGCCACCAGUGUUCACAGCUGCUUUUAUUACCUCACUAGACAUGCCUAGUGCUGAAAUUGCGGCCUCUCAGUGUUGUCUCCGUGUAUCAUACUGUUAUUACUCUUGAUAUUGUCAUUGCUAUUCUCUCUUUUCUGCCUCCAUUAAUACCAGCACCACUUCACCCUCUCCUUCUACUGGAAUCCUGCUUGCAGAAUAAAAUCCCUUCAACCGCUGUUAUUACCAGCCCUAAACCCCCUCCUCCACCUCUCUCCCCCUCCCCCUCCCCCUCCCUAUGUGUAUAUGAAAAAACGUUUGACUAAAUCCAGUUUUCAGGAAGAGCUAACCGAGUGUAUCUUGAAGAUCCAACCUUUAGUUUUUACUUCACUCACCUCACAAAAAACUUGGUAGUUGGGGUUGUUUCCAUACGUCGGGAGUUAUUCGUGGUAGGACUUGAUACGAUGUCAUCGAUAGGAUAUAAGAUGUCAUGCACGGUCAAGUAUAUCAGGUUUAAAGGAUAUUUUGUCGUAUUUGGUUUGGUUUAUUAAAUUUCCUUAUGAGACGAGCUUACGAGACUUUCUUGUUGUAGAUCGUUUGCAACGUCAUCUAAUCUAUUAAAAAAAUUAUUUGGUUGUGAUUUGAAAUUAAACAUGAUAAGUGGCUUUUUUUAAUGAGAAUGUCGGUUGUUCAUUCAUAGACUAGAAGAUUAUAAGGUUGGAAAAGUGCUUGUGGACUUCGAAGAUGUGGGGUUCAAAGGAGAAAUAUUGCCCAUUAACUACCCAAGCCUUUUCGUAAGAAUGGCUCUUAGGGGGAAAGCUAUUCUAAAUUAUUCUUUGUUAAUAGAUAGUUUCUAUACUAAUUAUAAGAUCAUCUUUCAAUAGUUAAAUGUUUGCUUUGUUUGGUUUAGAGAGAAAAGUAUACAAAAAAGGAUUACUUUUUUUUUUUUUUAAUGUUUCCAAGGAUGAGUAAAAUAAUGUUAAAGAUAUUCAAAAAUAAUUUCCCCCUCAUUUUUUGUUAUACAAAAUUGAAAAUUCUGGAGCAAAACGUAUUUCUUAAUAAUUUAAUUUUUUUUCAUGCUUUCACAAAUAAUCGACUAAAAAUAAUUUUUAUAAAUUUUUAUUAUUCUAUUUCUUUAAUUUUUUAAUGUCUCAUUUACUUACCCUCAAUUAUUGAGAACCUCGUUUAGCUGAACUGUCAAUAUAGCCUAAAGUGGAUCGGAGAAUAAAGGUCCAAAGUGAAAUGAAAAGUUCAUGGUGAAGAAUACGAAAUUAUAUAGAUUGGAAAAUUAUUUUUUAUUUGUUUUUCAUAUAUAUAUUUUAAGAGAUUGUGAAUAUGUGGCAUGUAGAGGAUUGAAUUCAUGGUGAAGAUAUCUUCUAGUUUACACUCAGCUAACCUGUGUCUCAUCCGUAGAAGGAAAUUAGGAAUGCUCACUGUUUUCCAUAUUUAAUGCUGACAAAUGUUCAAGUGUUCCUGUGUCUUAUGUGCAUGGUGUAGGAUACGCUCAAUGAUGCCUUUUUCCUGGGAUUCUGCUAUCGCGGAAAAUUCACCAUGCUGCCCCUUGUGACUUCUUGUUUCUACUUUUUUACUGUAAGCCUUUGAUUGGAAGGGAUAUAUAUGUAUUUUGUUGCUUUUUCUUAUUUAUAUGGAUUAAUUUAAAAAUUAUUUGUGUUGUAAUACCUUAACCUCCCAAUUGGCCAUAGGUUUCCAUUGUACGACAGGUCUGGUAGGUUUCUUCCUUUGGACUCAUUCCUGAAAUUUAAACCUGUUUGUUAA